UACAAAAUCUAUUCUACCUAUCUUCUAUUCUAAGCUAAAGUUAAUAUUAAUAUAAAAACAAAUCAAUCUAAAUCGCUAUGUAUCGCUAAAAAUGCUGUGUCUUGUCUGUCUCGUCUUUAUCACCACCACUGUCUGCGCAGAUUGUUGGUAGCUGGGGCUAUUAUAGUUGCGGCUGGUUGGCAAGCACGUGACUUUUAGAUGUGCAGUAUUCUGUUAAAUAAUCUGAUAAGUGAAGUGCUCACAUGGCACUGAACUCUUCAAUUUACCCCCACAUCAUUUCGCUGAAUUGUAACGGGCUACACCUCUGCCUUUGCUAACUAAGUGGGUUAGGUUGAUCUAGCACCUAAGCAAUGGAAGGCAAUACCAUCAAAUGCAUUACAACCAUUUGUUCAGUAAAUAUCUUUCUUAUUCCAGAGGUGAGGAAAAUGACUUGCCUCUUUCAUGCAUCUCCUUUGUCCAUCUCCUGUGUUCGGGGAAUGUCAUUUGAAAUCACUCUUCAGGUCGUGAUGUGAUUAGAAAAUGCAUAAAUUAACCUUCAUAGUUCUUUUCAAUUGAGACUCAUUCAGUUCAUAUUUUUUAAAUGAAGAAAGACAGUGAGUGCUUCUGGUUUCUCUCUUCAAAUAAACUAGGGCUGCAGCUAUGAGUCUUUUUGGAAUUGAGUAUGCUAGUGAUUAUUUCAUUGAAUAACAAAAUAUGUAUGUAUUUAUUUGUUAAAAUAUAUUUUGGAAAAAUUGAUUAAUAUGCACAAUAAAUGUAAAUCUGUAAACUAGCCCUAGUCACUUCAAAGUAAAUUGAUUUAUUUUAUGUAUAUUUGUGCAUCUGCAGCAUCUACCUUUCCUACCAAAUUACCUCAUUUACAAAAAAUAACUGCAGUUUUCACAGUGAUUGUACAAUACAGUGCAGUACUUAAGUAUUUUCAUGUUUAAAAUACAGAAUUUCUGCAGUAAAGUACAGCAGGCUACUACUAUGCAGUACAAUGCAGUUUUGACGUCCUUGUCUUUUCUAGGCUUGAAAUUAUCGGGUGGUAUGAUGGUUUCUUUGGUGUCAUCACGUCAACUUAAUUCUGAAAGUGGUGUGCGCGUUGGUAAUAACAGUCCGUGUGAUACAAUAACCCCUGAGCUGAGCAGGCCACAUCACAAGUGAUGGAAAUUAAGCGAAGCUUCAAGGCAGAUAAUUUUCAUCAAUCAUUUUUUGUAAUUUAAUUAUUUUGAGUUACUCAAGUAAUCAAUUCAGCCCUAAAAUAAACAUUUAACAAUUAUUUUUAUAAUCAGCUUUCCAUCACUACCAUCUCCAGUUGUUGUGGAUAUUGUGUUACCUAUUUCAAUCACAACUAAAAUAAUAAUCAUGUGUUACCAAGCUGGACCUAAUGUGUUAAGUUCAAUGUGUUAAGUUGUGGAAUGUGUAAGUAAUGUGUUCAAAGUUCAAUUCACUGUUAAUAGGAAAUGAAAUUGGUUCAUGCAUAACACUGCUUUUGACAUUGUAUCCUUAAAAUUAUUAUCUUUUAUGAUUCCUUUUAUGAGUAUUUGUGAUGCACACCACACUACUCUGUGAAGUGCUCCUGACCUUCAGGAGGAACAAGGAUCAACUGGAGGUCAACCUGGGAAGAGGAUACUUGAAGCUGUUGCUGCCACUGAAUAGCGCAACCCUGUUAAAGGACUCGAGCUGGAAGUCAAGUGUGCCGAUCUUGGCAGACCUGUGCCACUGUGAGGUGUUGAGUGCGUCUUGGGAGGGCUGACAUCUCUUCACAGCAAGAACCUUGAUUGGUGCAGAGCUGAAGCAUCACACAUAAAGGAGCACAAAAUCACCUUUAGAGGUUUACCUCUGGUCACUCCAUAGACUCCUGAAAUUAACGUGUUAAACCCUCGCAGGGAUGACAAAAUCAGAAAUUCAAAUGUUUGUUCUACACACUUUUGUCCUCUGUCUUUGAGUGGAUAUUCUUAUUACACCAUCCUGGUGUAAGUCAUACAGAAGGGGCUGUAUACUUGGAGGUUAAGUCAAGGUAUCAGGCACCUUUGACCAGCACUCAACAACCUCUUGACCACCUGUUGUAAUGGUUUAGGUUUAGAUUAGGCUUAGGUAAUAAAAGCACACCCAUGGAGAACAAGAAGUUUUCAAAAAUCUCUUGUGGAAGAAUGUGCUUCAGAACCACAGGCCCACUGUAAACUAUGAAUUGCCUUAGCUCUGUGGCCUUCCAUCUAUCUAUUUCUGUAAAUACAGGCGAUGCAACUUGCCAUUAUGUUAGUUAGCAAGUUAGCUCUGGUGUAGCAAAAAUCAAAGUGUGCAGCACUCGCGUAUCGGAGAUCACAGUAUCCGCUCGAAGGCAGAGGACAAAAGUGUUUAGAGCAAACGUUUGCAUUUUUGAUUUUGACGUCGCCGUGAGUUCAGGGAUUUGGGAUUAUCCCACCUGCUAUGUUAUUUUCAGUUAGUGAUCACUGUUGAUCUUGCAACAUGUACACCAACCGUGAUUUUGGUGUGUAGGCCAAAUAUGUUCCUCAAAGUUCUCUUUUUCACACACUCAAAACUAUUGUUCUUUUUCAAGUGUUCCAUUCAUUCACCUCUUUAUCAGAUGGCACAGGUGUGGAAGGUUGUAGAAUUCCGGGACAAAGCCACUGCCAUAGUGCCAGGUAGUUGGUUGGAGGAGGCAGGCGAUUUUUGGAACUGUUACUGGUCUGGCUCCUAUGACCACUGGCGGCUCCAAAAAUCCGUUUUAAACCACCUUCCACCAGGUCAAAACUGGGAUGUUUUUGAUGACGUGAGGGUCUUGGUAGGCUGUGGUAAGGAAACAUACUGCAUUAUUACUGCAGUUCCUAUGAGCACAGCAAUAUUGACAGAAGAGCAGUAACUGCAACAAGAUUAAUUUCAAAAGUCGCUGCCCAUUGCUUAAGUUUGUGUCGUAGACUCAUCUCCCCAGACUCACUUUCAUCAGAGCUGGAUGACUACUAAAAUCUUCUGUCUGUACUGUCACUGACACCACUGUUUGUACUGUGUUGACGAGGUCUGUUCGCAUAGUCUAAAGCUGCCUCACAAAGUGGUAGAUGUGAUGAGCUUUCACUAAGGGGGACCUUUUCGGCCUGACUAAUUGUCACAUUAAAUUGCUGCAAAAUCUCAUUCUCUGUCUCUCUUGCGUUUGACAUAAUAUAUAACAAUAAGAGGCCAUUUUUGUGUGUAUUGGCCACUAUUGAAAAAGAAAUUAGUUUUGCUUGGUAUGCUGUAUUGUUUGGUUUACUAUACCUCUUCAUUAGCUGUACUUGUCUGUAUGUUUUUAUUUAUUUUAUUUUAAAUAAACUAUUUUUUUCUGUUUA